ACUUUUUGGUGACCUAUAGAAUACUCAAGCUAUGCAUCCAACGCGUUGGGAGCUCUCCCAUAUGGUCGACCUGCAGGCGGCCGCGAAUUCACUAGUGAUUAGAGUUUGAUCAUGGCUCAGGGAAGUAAAGUCGUAACAAGGUAACCGAAUCGAAUUCCCGCGGCCGCCAUGGCGGCCGGGAGCAUGCGACGUCGGGCCCAAUUCGCCCUAUAGUGAGUCGUAUUACAAUUCACUGGCCGUCGUUUUACAACGUCGUGACUGGGAAAACCCUGGCGUUACCCAACUUAAUCGCCUUGCAGCACAUCCCCCUUUCGCCAGCUGGCGUAAUAGCGAAGAGGCCCGCACCGAUCGCCCUUCCCAACAGUUGCGCAGCCUGAAUGGCGAAUGGACGCGCCCUGUAGCGGCGCAUUAAGCGCGGCGGGUGUGGUGGUUACGCGCAGCGUGACUGCUACACUUGCCAGCGCUUUAGCGCUUGCUCCUUUCGCUUUCUUCCUUUCCUUUCUCGCCACGUUCGCCGGCUUUCCCCGUCAAGCUCUAAAUCGGGGGCUCCUUUUAGGGUUCUGAUUUAGUGCUUUACGGCACUUCGACUUUAAAAAACUUGAUUAGGGUGAUGGUUCACGUAGUGGGCCAUCGCCCUGAUAGACGGUUUUUCGCCCUUUGACGUUGGAGUCCACGUUCUUUAAUAGUGGACUCUUGUUCCAAACUGGAACAACACUCAACCCUAUCUCGGUCUAUUCUUUUGAUUUAUAAGGGAUUUUGCCGAUUUCGGCCUAUUGGUUAAAAAAUGAGCUGAUUUAACAAAAAUUUAACGCGAAUUUUAACAAAAUAUUAACGCUUACAAUUUCCUGAUGCGGUAUUUUCUCCUUACGCAUCUGUGCGGUAUUUCACACCGCAUCAGGUGGCACUUUUCGGGGAAAUGUGCGCGGAACCCCUAUUUGUUUAUUUUUCUAAAUACAUUCAAAUAUGUAUCCGCUCAUGAGACAAUAAACCCUGAUAAAUGCUUCAAUAAUAUUGAAAAAGGAAGAGUAUGAGUAUUUCAACAUUUCGUGGUCGCUCUUAUUCUCUUUUUUUUGCGGCAUUUUGGCUUUCUGGUUUUUGCUCACUCUAGGAAUGCUGGUGAAGUUAAAGAUUGCCUGGAGGAUCAGUGGGUGCAUCUGAGGUGGGUAAACCAUCUCGGA
rnacentral:rRNA from 1 species